ensembl:lncRNA
ACCGACUGUAGAAUUAAACGCUUUUGUGCACGUCUCCCGAACCUUAUCAAACGUCUGCAGUGUAGCUUAAUAUGUAAUGCAAAUAUUUCUAACUUAAGACCCAAACAGCUAACACACAACAAAACCUUACACAACAGCAAAACGGAAUGCAAAUAGCAUAAAUGCACCCGAACUGAUACUAUUUCUUUACAAAAAAAAUAUAUAAUUAUACAACCACUCUUCUAAAGGCUGAGAUCCAGUCACGCUGCCGGCGGAUACAACAACCUCGCGCCUGUAACUUGAGACUUUGCUGUAGAGCGCGUGGCGUUUCGCGCCACUGUGGACUAAACCAUUACUGCGAACAUUUGGAGGGGUGCGCGUCUUACUGUGUUCGUUUAGUGAUUCGCUUUAUUGCAGUGAUAUGUAAACAUAUUGAUUAAGACCGUGAAAUAAUAAAAUUUUUAAAACAAUGAAGGCUUCUUCUCGCAAACAACUUUGUAAACAAGUCGAAAAGUUUGAGAAGUCUUAAACAUCCACCCCUUAUACUACGGCGCGUAUGCAAACUGCCUAGUUGAUAUUUCCCGCGAAAGUACAGUUCAUUCAGUGCAACAAAGUGGGGUGUGUAAGAGAUCAGAGGAUUGUUUGAUCUUGCCGCCAUCUACACGUACACACACACACACACACACACACUCGUGUCAUAAACAUCUCCGCUGGAGGUGAAAACUCAAACCUGCUGUACAAAGAAGAUGCAGCAAAACAGUGAAGUAGAAAACCCGCAAGAGCUCGAUGAACUCAGUCACCUUGAUCACGUGCUCUCGCGUUUCUCUCAUCAGAUGUACACAAGGAAGAGGUGCUGCUCCGCUUCACGACGUGCCGAAACACCUUCCUCAAGUAAAAGUCACUGUUAUGUACCGAGAGUAGCGCUUCUAUUGUCCUCUGCCCACAAUGUUCUUAAUUUUGUGGCAACAGUGAAGGAGUUCACAUGAGGGAACCUGUCUGAGUCUUUGUCACAAACACUUCAAGGUUUCCUGUACUCAUCAUAAAUCAUCCUGCUUAAAGACCAGCUUUAUUGUCUUCAUGUUCAAGAUAAAUAUAGGUUUUUUCACUGUUUAAGAGAUCAAAUGAUAAUGUAACAGAGACAUGUGUUGAUGCUUGAGGAAAACCCGAGAAUAAACAUCCC